UAGCUACUCCCUCCGUUCCAAAUUACUCGUCGCAGAAAUGGAUGUAUCUAGAACUAAAAUACAUCUAGAUACAUCCAUACUUGCGACAAGUAAUUUGGAACAGAGGGAGUACAUU
rnacentral:pre_miRNA from 1 species